rnacentral:rRNA from 1 species
AUUGAACGCUGGCGGCAUGCCUUACACAUGCAAGUCGAACGGUAACAGGUUAAGCUGACGAGUGGCGAACGGGUGAGUAAUGUAUCGGAAUGUGCCCAGUCGUGGGGGAUAACUGCUCGAAAGAGCAGCUAAUACCGCAUACGACCUGAGGGUGAAAGCGGGGGAUCGCAAGACCUCGCGCGAUUGGAGCGGCCGAUAUCAGAUUAGGUAGUUGGUGAGGUAAAGGCUCACCAAGCCGACGAUCUGUAGCUGGUCUGAGAGGACGACCAGCCACACUGGGACUGAGACACGGCCCAGACUCCUACGGGAGGCAGCAGUGGGGAAUUUUGGACAAUGGGCGCAAGCCUGAUCCAGCCAGGCCGCGUGCGGGAAGAAGGCCUUCGGGUUGUAAACCGCUUUUGUCAGGGAAGAAAAGGUUCUGGCUAAUACCUGGGACUCAUGACGGUACCUGAAGAAUAAGCACCGGCUAACUACGUG